rnacentral:lncRNA from 1 species
UGGCUGUGUGCCUCGCUCUGUGCGCUUCAGAGAGACUCAGCUGCAAGAACUAUUGCCCUGGCCCCUACGGAGACCAGUACGCAUGCUGUGACCCGAAGCCUGGGACUUGCCCGUCGCCUCCAAGGUGCACCGACAUCUUUGACGGCAACGUUCCUUUUUGCUACGUCGACAGCGACUGUCCCCGGGACGAGAAGUGUUGCGAGGACGCUUGCAAUGCAGGGAAGAUCUGCAUUUCAUUGCACGGUCUGGAACACUAGUUUUGUUGCAGUGUUGGUUGCAAUAGACUCUCUUUGGCAAUAAAGUUUAUGGAAGGAUAA